AUUGAACGCUGGCGGCAGGCCUAACACAUGCAAGUCGAGCGCGCGGCGGACGGGUGAGUACUGUCUGGGAAACUGCCUGAUGGAGGGGGAUAACUACUGGAAACGGUAGCUAAUCCCGCAUACCAUCCGAUGUUCCCAGAUGGGAUUAGCGAGUAGGUGGGGUAACGGCUCACCUAGGCGCCGCUCCCUAGCUGGUCUGAGAGGAUGACCAGCCACACUGGAACUGAGACACGGUCCAGACUCCUACGGGAGGCAGCAGUGGGGAAUAGUGCACAAUGGGCGCAAGCCUGAUGCAGCCAUGCCGCGUGUGUGAAGAAGGCCUUCGGGUUGUAAAGCACUUUCAGCGGGGAGGCGGUACCCGCAGAAGAAGCACCGGCUAACUCCGUGCCAGCAGCCGCGGUAAUUC
rnacentral:rRNA from 1 species